rnacentral:rRNA from 1 species
GCUGACGACAAUAGCACGAUGGCACCACCUGAUCCCUUCCCGAACUCAGAAGUGAAACAUCGUAGCGCCGA